GGGCGUCAACAGGUAGCUAAUGUUACUCACUGGACCAGCCAUAGAACAUCAGCUUACAAUAACUAUCUAUUUUAAUUUUUCUGUUGACAACAACUGCAAAGUGUAGUGUAUGUGCAACUACAAGCAAGUACAGGCUUCUGGGGUAACAUUUCAUCAGCUACCUGCGGAGAUAUUCCUCGGAGCCGACAGUGGCUGGCGGCAAUAAAGAACGUUGCUUAUAAUGUGAAUCCUCCCGUGGAGAAUUCUGUGUUUAAGGCCAGCACUUUCAGCCUGCAGAUUUCGAAAAUGACCUGAUAAAAAUGAUCUCAACCGAUGGGGUUGCCAGGUCGUAGAAAGUUGAAAAGUGAAGCUAUUCCAUUGAUUUCCCCCAUCACUUCAAAGAGGAAGGCAUCCAAUCAGCCAACAUCAGCGCAGCAGAAAACAAGUCCAGCAGAGAGUCCGAUCCCAUCAACAUCUGCAGCUUCAUCAACAUCAAGCUCAGCACCAGGAACUAGUGAGACUUGCAGUACAAACAAAUCUUCUGCAAGAAGUCGAAGUAGUGGGUGAUGAAGAAAGUGUACGAGCCCAGAACCGACCACUUCAGGGAGAAGCUUGUCCGCCUGGCUGCGGAGCGGAGAAAGGACAAGACGGCGGUCUACAAGCAGCCAGAAUCACAGCUUCCCAAACCCAACAACCCUGCCAACAGUGCCAAAGCGUCCCUAAACCAGCUGCCAUAGCCCAAAACAAGACAAGGUUUACCAGCUGAAAAACAUUCAGGACCCUGUCUGGAACAUUCAGCCUACACAACAUCCAUAUUCAUUUAGACUGAUGUUGUAGUAUAAUAUAGAAUGCCUAGUAUGCUCACAACUGCAUUGUGGUAUAGAUAUUUCUAGCUCUUGUAUACAUGUAUAUAAUGGAGUUUGAUCAAAUGUUUUAUAUAAUCUUUUUUACAAGUGUACUGACAAGUGGCUAAAUGAUUCCAGCAGCAUCAGAAAACAAAGUGUUGACUUCAACUUCUUCUUUGCAGCUCCUUCAGGGUUAUCUUUGGUCUCUUUGUUGCCUCUCUGAUUAAUGCCCUCUUUGUCUGGUCCGUGAG